UAGAAUAAGAAAUAUAACUUGUUUUAUACAGGGUUAUACUCAAAGACAAAUAUUUGAUGCAAGGGUUUAAUUUUAAAGACUACGAUAUACCUACAAUACACUCUUUUUCCCUACUGCUAUUUGGCAUUCAAUCAAAUAAAGUGCUGCUUGUUAGAGCAGUAAGCAAAGAAUACAUUUAUCAUUGGAAAUUUAAGUACGAUUGGUAGUUUAUUGAUUCAAGGUAGCCUGCUAGAAUUUGAUAUUUAAUGUUAAUCGAUCAAUUUUGUCAAUGAGAUUUUGUGUGGGCAAUUGUUCACUUUAGUUUUCCUAAAUUUCGUCCAGUGUAUUUUUAUAAAGCAUUUAUUGUAAAAUAAUUUGAAAAAUUAUCCACUAAAACAUCAUUCUCAUGUAUAAUUCUAUAA